UUCCCAUGCAGGGCUCCGUCGGCUCCCUGUGCCCACGGUCCCUGUGCAGGGCUCCAUCGGCUCCCCGUGCCCUCGGUUCCCGUGCAGGGCUCCGUCGGCUCCCCGUGCCCGUGCAGCGCGGUGCAAGGCGUGCUUGUCGGCGGGGCAGCCGUGAUGAGCGGCUCGGCGGCGGUGCGUGCAGCACCUGGGGAGGGUGGAGCCGCCAUCCCCGAGGUUUCUCCAACAGUCGGACGAACAUCUGCCAGGAACGUGCGCCGCGGGGCAGGGCGGGAGGCGGGAGCUGCCCGGGCCCCCCAGCAGGCGGGGAGGGGGCCGUGGGGCUCCGCGGCGCGAGGCCGCCCACUCACGCUGCCCCUCUGCCGCAGGCCCAUGCUCAUCGACAUGAACAAGGUGUACCGCCAGAGCAACCUGGAGAACCUGGACCAGGCCUUCACCGUGGCCGAGCGGGACCUGGGGGUGACGCGCCUCCUGGACCCCGAAGGUACCGCUGCAACGUCCCCGCGUCGCCCGCGUCCUCGUGGGCGCCGCUCCCGCAGCACGGACGCCCGGCCGCGCCGCCGUCCUCCUCCGGCGCCGGGCGGCCCCUGACCGCCCUCCCUCCCCCUAGACGUGGACGUGCCCCAGCCGGACGAGAAGUCCAUCAUCACCUACGUCUCGUCGCUGUACGACGCCAUGCCCCGCGUGCCCGACGUGCAGGACGGCGUCAAGGCCAACGAGCUGCAGCUGCGCUGGCAGGAGUACUAUGAGGUGGUGACGAUGCUGCUGCAGUGGAUUCGCCACCACACCGUCCUCUUCGAGGAGCGCAAGUUCCCUGCCAGCUACGAGGAGAUCGAGGUGAGGGGGCCGGCGGUGCGCCGGCUGCAGGGGACGGUGCACAGCGGAGUGGGGGGGGAGCCGCCGCAGGGGUCCGGUGUCCGGCUCCGCCGCCCUGAGCAGCGCCGGCAGGGAGGGACCCUCUGAGUCACUUUUUCCAGGCGGGCUCCUCGUGACUCACCGAUGGCAAACACAAGCCGCCCGGCCCGGCCCCUUCCUUCCUGCGGGCUCCCGGCGCGGCGGCCGGCGGGGAGGGGGUGCCCGCGCCGCCCCGGCCCCCCCAGGCCACGUGCCACAGCCUGGCCGUGCGUGCACGUGCGCGGAGCCCCCCGGCCGGGUGCGCGCGGUGGGG
rnacentral:lncRNA from 1 species